rnacentral:rRNA from 1 species
UACGUAGGGUGCAGGCGUUAAUCGGAAUUACUGGGCGUAAAGCGUGCGCAGGCGGUUUCUUAAGUCAGAUGUGAAAGCCCCGGGCUUAACCUGGGAACUGCGUUUGAAACUGGGAGACUCGAGUGUGGCAGAGGGGAGUGGAAUUCCACGUGUAGCAGUGAAAUGCGUAGAUAUGUGGAGGAACACCGAUGGCGAAGGCAACCCCCUGGGUUAACACUGACGCUCAUGCACGAAAGCGUGGGGAGCAAACAGG